AUCAAAUGAUUACUAGAAUUAAGACAACGAGGUUUGUAUCUGGUUUACUUAUUUUAGUUUAUAACUAUGUUUUAAUGGGUGUAAUUGAUAUGCAUUUUUCAUGAAGGAAAUAUGAAUGCAAAAUGUAUGUUGUGUAUAACGUGCAGAGGAAUAUAUCUAAAACUUUCUGGAGCUUUCUGGGCUUUUAAAGAUUUGAAGAUUAACUGGCCACUUGUGGCCAAGCUUGUCGGAAGAGAUUGCAGUCAUAUUGGGGGUCGUUGAGGCUGAGAGAGGAAGUGUCACGCAUUGGAGCAUCUUCAAGACUGAUGUUACUGUUGAUGGUAGUUGGAUUUGAUGACGUCAAUGGCGAAAUGACCGGGGUCGGUCAACAGUUCAUCACUGCGGCUUGGCUUGGUCUCACGUAAAUUCAGAUAACAAUUUCCAGCCUGUUUUCCUGUUUACCGUUGAUGUUGCUUGUCUGACCAGAUUUGGACUAGUUCGUGCGCUGUUCAUACUAACAUCAUCGUUAAAUCUAGUAAUAGUACAAUAGCUUAACAACUGCGUAGAAGUCACCCCUGUGCUCAUACAUGUGCGUUUAUAACUUAUUAUUCAGUCUCUGAUAAUAUUCAAAUAUAAUGAAACUUAUUAUUUUUGUUUGACUAUAGAAAAAUACUUGAUGAAGACAUGUCCAUCAACGCUAAAGUAAACAUACAGAUUAAAAAAAAAAACACGACUGGCAA